rnacentral:rRNA from 1 species
UACGGGAGGCAGCAGUGGGGAAUAUUGCACAAUGGGCGCAAGCCUGAUGCAGCCAUGCCGCGUGUAUGAAGAAGGCCUUCGGGUUGUAAAGUACUUUCAGUCGUGAGGAAGGUGUUAAGGUUAAUAACCUUAGCAAUUGACGUUAGCGACAGAAGAAGCACCGGCUAACUCCGUGCCAGCAGCCGCGGUAAUACGGAGGGUGCGAGCGUUAAUCGGAAUUACUGAGCGUAAAGGGCACGCAGGCGGUUAAUUAAGUUGGAUGUGAAAUCCCCGGGCUUAACCUGGGAAUGGCAUUCAAGACUGGUUAGCUAGAGUCUUGUAGAGGGGGUAGAAUUCCAUGUGUAGCGGUGAAAUGCGUAGAGAUGUGGAGGAAUACCGGUGGCGAAGGCGGCCCCUGGGACAAAGGACUGACGCUCAUGUGCGAAAGCGUGGGGAGCAAACAGGGAUUAGAUACC